GCUGACCCUAGAAGCAUUGCAGGUCUGGCUGUGAUGUCACAUGUGUGUCAGUAGGUGGCAGAGAGGAGAGAGGCUAUGCCUACAUUCAGUGUUCCAACUGUGAACAUUGGGAUGACUAGUAGUCUAACAUU